rnacentral:rRNA from 1 species
AUCUCUGCCCACAACCAUGAUAGACUGAAUGCAUUUCAUAUCAGAAGCUAAGUGAUGCCAACCUGAUUCAUACUUUAAUUGGAGACCACUUGUGAAUCCCAGGUGCCACAGGCA